AGGGAAUCUUCCGCAAUGGACGAAAGUCUGACGGAGCAACGCCGCGUGAGUGAUGAAGGUUUUCGGAUCGUAAAGCUCUGUUGCCAGGGAAGAACGUCUUCUGGAGUAACUGCCAGGAGAGUGACGGUACCUGAGAAGAAAGCCCCGGCUAACUACGUGCCAGCAGCCGCGGUAAUACGUAGGGGGCAAGCGUUGUCCGGAAUUAUUGGGCGUAAAGCGCGCGCAGGCGGCUGGUUAAGUCUGGUGGAUCAUCCUGGGGCUCAACCCCGGGUCGCACUGGAAACUGGAUGGCUUGAGUGCAGAAGAGGAGAGUGGAAUUCCACGUGUAGCGGUGAAAUGCGUAGAGAUGUGGAGGAACACCAGUGGCGAAGGCGACUCUCUGGGCUGUAACUGACGCUGAGGCGCGAAAGCGUGGGGAGCAAAC
rnacentral:rRNA from 1 species